rnacentral:rRNA from 1 species
UAACACCUGGAAACAGAUGCUAAUACCGGAUAACAACAGAUGAUGCCUAUCAACUGUUUAAAGAUGGUUCUGCUAUCACUCUUGGAUGGACCUGCGGUGCAUUAGCUAGUUGGUAGGGUAACGGCCUACCAAGGCGAUGAUGCAUAGCCGAGUUGAGAGACUGAUCGGCCACAUUGGGACUGAGACACGGCCCAAAACUCCUACGGGAGGCAGCAGGC